ensembl:misc_RNA 7SK 7SK RNA
GAAUGUGAGGGAGAUGGAGCUGAAGUGUCUGUCAUGGCAUUGCUCACUUGGGUUGAUUCUGCUAUCUGGGUGGCUAAGUGGCUGCAUUUACCUCUCUCUCUACUCCAUGUGCAUGCUUCUCAAUGCUGUACAUUUGCUGAAAGAGGGUCACCUUCCCUGGACAGAGGAGAGCCAGUCUUUGGCCAAGGAUGUCCAAAUAGCUGUGUUCCUCUGCUAGAACCUACAAACUUGCUCUCAAAUUCAACAAACAGAAGGGCCAGAGAUGUAGCCCCAGGGUGGAGUGUUUUCCU